UCCAGCGUAGCCGAUUAGGUAAGGCGACUGACUGUUAAUCAGUACAAUACAGGUUCAAGUCCUGUCGCUGGAG
rnacentral:tRNA from 1 species